rnacentral:rRNA from 1 species
UACGUAGGUGGCGAGCGUUGUCCGGAUUUACUGGGCGUAAAGAGCGCGCAGGCGGUCGUAUAAGUCGGAUGUGAAAGCCCCUGGCUCAACUAGGGAGAGUCAUUCGAUACUGUUCGACUCGAAGGCAGGAGAGGGAAGUGGAAUUCCGGGUGUAGUGGUGAAAUGCGUAGAUAUCCGGAGGAACACCAGCGGCGAAGGCGACUUUCUGGCCUGUUCGUGACGCUGAGGCGCGAAAGCUAGGGGAGCAAACGGG